GUAGGGAAUAUUGGACAAUGGGGGCAACCCUGAUCCAGCGACGCCGCGUGAGUGAUGAAGGCCUUCGGGUCGUAAAGCUCUGUUGCAGGGGAAGAACACAAUGACGGUACCCUGCUAGAAAGGAUCGGCUAACUUCGUGCCAGCAGCCGCGGUAAGACGAGGGAUCCUAGCGUUGUGUGGAAGUAUUGGGCGUAAAGCGGGUGCAGGUGGCUUGGUAAGGCAGAUGUUAAAGCCUGGGUCUUAACCCCAGAAGUGCAUUUGAUACUGCUGAGCUUGAGUGCUGGAGAGGCUAUUAGAAUUCCUGGUGUAGUGGUGAAAUACGUAGAUAUCAGGAGGAAUACCGGAGGCGAAGGCGGAUAGCUGGCCAGACACUGACACUCAGACCCGAAAGCGUGGGGAUCAAACAGGAUUAGAAACCCGGGUAGUCC
rnacentral:rRNA from 1 species